GAUGAACGCUGGCGGCGUGCUUAACACAUGCAAGUCGAACGAAGCUACCCAAAGGAAGUUUUCGGAUGGAAUUUAGGUAGACUUAGUGGCGGACGGGUGAGUAACGCGUGGAUAACCUGCCUUAUACAGGGGGAUAACGGAGAGAAAUUUCCGCUAACACCGCAUAAGACCACAGCACCGCAUGGUGCAGGGGUAAAAUAUUUAUAGGUAUAAGAUGGAUCCGCGUCCGAUUAGCUAGUUGGUGAGGUAAAGGCCCACCAAGGCGACGAUCGGUAGCCGGCCUGAGAGGGUGAACGGCCACAUUGGGACUGAGACACGGCCCAAACUCCUACGGGAGGCAGCAGUGGGGAAUAUUGGACAAUGGGGGAAACCCUGAUCCAGCGACGCCGCGUGAGUGAAGAAGUAUUUCGGUAUGUAAAGCUCUAUCAGCAGGGAAGAAAAUGACGGUACCUGACUAAGAAGCCCCGGCUAACUACGUGCCAGCAGCCGCGGUAAUACGUAGGGGGCAAGCGUUAUCCGGAUUUACUGGGUGUAAAGGGAGCGCAGACGGCAAUGCAAGUCUGAAGUGAAAGGCGUGGGCUCAACCCAUGAACUGCUUUGGAAACUGUAUAGCUUGAGUGUCGGAGGGGUAAGCGGAAUUCCUAGUGUAGCGGUGAAAUGCGUAGAUAUUAGGAGGAACACCGGAGGCGAAGGCGGCUUACUGGACGACAACUGACGUUGAGGCUCGAAGGCGUGGGGAGCAAACAGG
rnacentral:rRNA from 1 species